rnacentral:misc_RNA from 1 species
UUUCCGUAGGUGAACCUGCGGAAGGAUCAUUAUUGUAUAACCGAGGUGCGAGGGCUGUCGCUGACCCGAAAGGUCGUGGACGCCCGAGUGCCCUCACACACAUCCAUCUCACCCCUAUGUGCACCACCGCGUGGGUCCCCCUUUGGCUUGUUCGGAGGGGGGCUUACGUUUUCACACAAACUUUGUAUGCAGUGUAGAAUGUAUUUUUUGUUUUUGCGAUCACGCAAUCAAUACAACUUUCAACAACGGAUCUCUUGGCUCUC